AGCAGCCGCGGUAAUUCCAGCUCCAAUAGCGUAUAUUAAAGUUGUUGCAGUUAAAAAGCUCGUAGUUGAAUUUCGGGAUCAAAGAAUCGGUCAUGCCUUGGUAUGUACUGGUUUUAUUGGUUCUCACCUUCUAAAGAACCAUGAUGUCAUUCAUUUGAUGUUAUGGGGAAUUAGGACUGUUACCUUGAAAAAAUUAGAGUGUUUAAAGCAAGCUUACGCUUGAAUACAUUAGCAUGGAAUAAUGAAAUAGGACAUCAGAUUCUAUUUUGUUGGUUUCUAGGAUCGAUGUAAUGAUUAAUAGGGAUAGUUGGGGGCAUUAGUAUUCAAUUGUCAGAGGUGAAAUUCUUGGAUUUAUUGAAGACUAACUACUGCGAAAGCAUUUGCCAAGGAUGUUUUCAUUAAUCAAGAACGAAAGUUAGGGGAUCGAAGACGAUCAGAUACCGUCGUAGUCUUAACCAUAAACUAUGCCGACUAGGGAUCGGAUGAUGUCAAUUUUU
rnacentral:misc_RNA from 1 species